AGCGAACGCUGGCGGCAGGCCUCACACAUGCAAGUCGAACGGAUCCUUCGGGAUUAGUGGCGGACGGGUGAGUAACACGUUGGGACGUGCCCUUUGGUUCGGAACAACUCAGGGAAACUUGAGCUAAUACCGGAUGUGCCCUUCGGGGGAAAGAUUUAUCGCCAUUGGAGCGGCCCGCGUCUGAUUAGCUAGUUGGUGAGGUAACGGCCCACCAAGGCGACGAUCAGUAGCUGGUCUGAGAGGAUGAUCAGCCACACUGGGACUGAGACACGGCCCAGACUCCUACGGGAGGCAGCAGUGGGGAAUCUUGCGCAAUGGGCGAAAGCCUGACGCAGCCAUGCCGCGUGAAUGAUGAAGGUCUUAGGAUUGUAAAAUUCUUUCAGCGGGGACGAUAAUGACGGUACCCGCAGAAGAAGCUCCGGCUAACUUCGUG
rnacentral:rRNA from 1 species